rnacentral:rRNA from 1 species
UACGAAGGGGGCUAGCGUUGCUCGGAAUCACUGGGCGUAAAGGGUGCGUAGGCGGGUCUUUAAGUCAGGGGUGAAAUCCUGGAGCUCAACUCCAGAACUGCCUUUGAUACUGAGGAUCUUGAGUCCGGGAGAGGUGAGUGGAACUGCGAGUGUAGAGGUGAAAUUCGUAGAUAUCAGGAAGAACACCAACGGCGAAGGCAGCUCGCUGGGACGGUACUGACGCUGAGACGCGAAAGCGUGGGGGAGCGAACAGG